UUGGCGGUGUUGUGUGUAGCACAAAGUUGUUAACCCGGAUGAAAUAAAUCCUGCUUAUCUGUUUCUUCUUUUGCUGACUGAGCCCUCAAUGCUGGACCCAAGAAGUCAUUGGCUAACCCCAGAUGAUGACCAUCUGCUCCUCUCUUUUCUGCUAAGAGUCUUCUGAUUUUAGUGCUGACAUCCGGAUCUCUGACAUGCUUUGAGGCAACGUCUGUGUGCACGCUGGAGGCCCACCCUCAUUCUUCCACCCAUGCACAUGCCGUUGUCCUGGCAGCAUUUGUGGAAACGGUCGAUUGAGUGUUCUUGGCGCCUGUGUCUCAAACCCGUCGACCAUGCACGCAAGGGUCUGUUUCUCUCGAUUUCACCCCCUUGGUCUGUAUAUCCUGCUGCCAGGACCACAAUCUCUUGAUGACUGUACAUUGUAGUAAGUCUUGAAAUCAGAAAGUAUGAAUUCUCUGGUUUUGUUAUUUUCUGGUAUGUUUUGGUUCCCCUAGGCCUCUUGCAUUUCUAUACGAAUCUGAGGAUCCACUUGCCGAUUCCUGCAAAGGCAGGGCUGAGACUUGGCCUCCUUGGUGUUCUCAGUCUUCUGUAAUCAGGCAGCAGUAAAGCAGAUGGUGCUCAGAGCACACUGAGUAACACAAUGCUGAUGAUUCAUGAUGCAGAAGAAGGAAGGAAGGAGAAAUCAGACGUACUGAGGAGACACAGUCCCUGUUCACAUCCUCUGCUCCCAGGAGCGCAGCCCUGCCACUCCACGACCCAGAAGGCCGGCCCUGCACUUCUGGUAGGAACGCAGCCACUGGCGGUGAAGCCCUGGAGCCCGAGGGACGGCGGGAUGGAGCAACGGCCGCAGCACGCAGACCCCGGCAGAGGGAACAAGGCCUCAAACACGACACCCUUGCCAUGAUUUGUUCACAUCACAGAGGUGGGGACAGAGAUGGGGGUUUGGUGCAGCCCCAGGUGUGCAUGCCCUCGGCUGUCUGGUUGGCUGUGCGCCCACUGACUGUUUCCCCGUGAGGACAUCUCCUCCCAACUCCCUCCAGCCGCACAUGCCACCCACACACAGCCCCUUGCUCACCCAAGUCCUCCAGAAUGAUGUGGCGCGGCGGAAAGAACCGGGAAGAGCCGUUAGUGUCACACCUGCCAUCCCCGUGAGUUAUCGGCCCCCCAAACAUCGUCGAGCCUCCCCAUCAGUGAUAUCUCUUAUUUACCCUUAAGGCACUCGGCAGCUGCUAAACGGCUGUCUGUGGCAGUUUGGUGGAGGCAAUAAUAAUACAUUAUAAAUCAAUGAAAAUGAAGUUUUCCUGUGAUAAUCCGAUAUAGAUUUGCUAACAUUUGUAUGAAAUUCAAUUCUGUUUGAUUGCAUCAGCAUAUGCUUCAUCUUUUGCAGCACUAUUGAUUUUGAAGGCUCUUAUCCAUAUGUCUAAAUUAUUUCCAUCACGUUUUUGUGUGGCUGCCUAGAAAUAACCCGGGUGAACUGCAGCCGCUAUCCCUGAUCACUCUCCAUUGUGUCUCCUCCCUGCGCGUCCCAGGGACACGCUUAGGUCUGCAUUCUGAGGGAGAAGAGAUGCCUUUUUAGGAAAGUCUGUCUUUCUGCCCCAUCCCACGUCCCCCACUUACUAUUGAGAUGUCACUCCUGCCAUUGUUACUGCUUCCCAGAGCAUCCGUCCAUCUGUCAGGAAGGGUCCGUGCAUCCCACGGCACUUCCAGCGGUCCUGGAACCCACAGCCACACAUGCACCUCCUUCU
rnacentral:lncRNA from 12 species